CCCCGACAUGGCCCUCAAGCUCGUCCUUCUCUCCGCCCUCGUGGCCGUCGCCCUCGCCGACAACGCCCCUACAGGCCGCCCCCUCCCCCUCCCACCUACAGCGCCCCCACCCCAUCCUACCGCGCCCCUGCACCAUCCUACAAUGCUCCCCAGCCAGUGAGUCCCCCCAAGUAUGACUUCAGCUGGAACGUCAAGGACGACUAUUCCGGCAACGACUACGGCCACCAGGAGGCGCGCGACGGCUACGACACCCAGGGAUCCUACUAUGUGCUGCUGCCCGACGGCCGCCUGCAGGAGGUCAC